GGUUCAACAGCUAAAUUUAGAGAUGGUGCACAUAUCAUUAACUACACCUCAAACUAAUGAUACUUAUGCCCACAGAUUACACACGAGGUGCAGUGUCGAUUUCCAUACUCGUUUUGGCCAUUAUCACUUAAAUCCGCAGCAUGUUUCAGGUAUCAGUUAAAUCAAACACCUCAAUCAAAGUUAUAACAUUGCACUUAUGCUAAAUAAGAUUUCAACACGUACAAAUAUGCUAAAACUAAAUUUCAAUAGAUUCAAACAAUUGAAGCACAUGAGCUAGAAGUGCAUCCACAAUUUCAUUACGAAUUAGAGAGGAGAUACAUGAUUUGGAUAUGUACCUGGUCACUUAGGAAUCAACAUAAAAUUGCCAAAGAAAGGCUAGAAAGGAGGAAACGUUGGAGUUCAGCUGCAGUUUAUUUGCAAAACAACUUCAAUUACCAGUUGAAAUCACCUUGAAAAAACCCAGGGAAGUGUGAAUAAAAUCUUCAAAUCUCUAUUUCACUUCAAGUUCUACUUGAAAUCUUUAAUUUUUUUGCUUUUUUCAGAGCUUUUGUUUUUGUCCUCACAUCUGAUCUUUGAACUUGAAUUCAGAAUGUGAUUGUGUGCGUCGAUGACUGAGAGAGGUGAGAAUUGUGUGAUUUCUCUUUAAGGAGAUGAAGGGAAGGUCUGCUCUUUGUCUUUUGUAGCAGAUUAAAGGCG
rnacentral:lncRNA from 1 species